AAUAAACUUUUAUGACAAGAUAAGAGUCCUUGCAGCCUAUUAGAAAAGUAGGGAAAAGAAGAGAUCCAUGCUAACCAUCAUGGUUUUCCUAAUGCCACAGGUGAUGGUGUCAUAUCAGGAGAUGGGCAGUAAGAGAUAGAAAUCAGUUCAGAUCUAUACUUAUCCACUCCAUCGCUGUUUGUCCUUGAAACACUCUCUUUACCCGUCAAAAUUUCCUGCACUUCUGAAUUCUGAACCUUAUCUGGUAGGGAGUAAGAUAUUCCAAUGAGCAACUCCCUGGCCUGCUCCUGAGAAACCUCAGUGCGAGCUUCUUUUGCAUCCAUA
rnacentral:misc_RNA from 1 species